rnacentral:rRNA from 1 species
AAACCGUUGAAAGGGAAGCGAAUGGAGUUAGCAAUUCGCCCUGCCAGAUUCAGCUGUUCGUGCUUCGUGACGUGCGCGUGCUCGAUCCACUCUUGGGCGAGCCGUGUACGGACGCGACGUGCUGGCGGCGCACUUCUGGCUAAGCGAGCGUCAGCGUCGGUUGUCGACGGGCGACAAGGACGAGAGGAAGGUGAGCCGGUCUUCACGGCCGGUUGUUAAGCCUCUUGAUCGCAUAGCUCGACGGCGACCGUGGCUCUGCGACGCGUGCCUAGCUGGUGACUCGUGUGAUCGGUUCGGCUGUCGACCGUGGCGGACGGCAUGCCUGUGCGUUCCAAACUGCUGCCGGUCGAUCGCAUGAUGUUCACACAAUACGCGUCGAAGAUGCUGACGGCCAUACGGCUCCAUCCGACCCGUCUUGAAACACGGACCAAGGAGUCUAACAUGUGCGCGAGUCUCCGGGUGAUCGAAACCCGUGGGCAUAAUGAAAGUAAAGAUCGUCAUUGACGAUUGAGGUGAGAAGCGAACACUUCGGUGUUCGCUGCAUCAUCGACCGACCUAUUCUGCUCUCAGAAAGGUUUGAGUAAGAGCGUAUCUGUUGGGACCCGAAAGAUGGUGAACUAUGCCUGAAUAGGGUGAAGCCAGCGGAAACACUGGUGGAAGCUCGUAGCGAUUCUGACGUGCAAAUCGAUCGUCGAAUUUGGGUAUAGCGGCGAAAGACUAAUCGAACCAUCUAGUAGCUGGUUCCCUCCGAAGUUUCCCUCAGGAUAGCUGGAGUUCAUACAUGCAGU